AAGAAUCAUUCGAGCUAGUCGAGCAGACCUGAUGGUUCUUCUUCAUCAAAAGUUGGUUGCUCCUUUGAGCGAUCAACAAGACAAGUUUUGAAAGUUGUAAAAGUUGUGAAGCAAGGAAAGUUGAGAAGUUAUGAGAUCUACGUUGUUGAUGCCUAACAAUAAUAGAGGCAUGGAAAGUUGGGAAUGUCUUCUCCAAGAGAUCUUGUUCAGUUAACUCCUUGCAAAAUUUAAGGCGUGAUCAGAUUUGACAGACUUCAGAAUUAUAUUCAUUCACAGACUUAAAGUCUUGGAAGCAAAGAUGUUGCUAGUCAUGUCUUACUUCAGGCAAAAAGAUCUUCUUCUUGUGAUCAAAGCGUCCCUGAAGAGCAAGCCCCAAAACUUAGGAAUCCUCUUCAGCGAAGUAUUCCAUCUGCAGUGUGUCAAGCAUGUGUCUUUUGAUAGAGAUCAUGAUAAUUGCUUUCUAAGCUUCACCAUCUGGAAUAUCUAUUUCAGCUUUAUUGGUGGCUCUUAGAUUCUUCGAAGUCAAAUGGCACUUCAAGUCUUCCAAAGACUUCCAAAGAACUGAAAUCGAGCUUUUAAAGUAUGACAUUUCACUAAGAUGGGAGAAACAAGGUCAUGGUUACUUCUUUUUAAAAAAACUUAAUUCUUCUGCUAUUAUUGAGUAUUAGGAGAUGAGAAUGCUCAUAGGUAAGAUGCUUGGGAAGAAUUUGGAACCUACAUUGAUUAAGUGGAAGUUAGGACCAUUUCGAUCACAGAUUGGUCUUAGACAAUUGGCUUUUGUAUGUCAAAGGGUAAAUCUUCCAUCUUGAAAGGUGGACACAUGAGUUCAGGG
rnacentral:lncRNA from 1 species